AGUAGCAAUACUGAGUGGCAAACGGGUGAGUAUAAUGUAGGAAUCUACCUUUUGGUUUGGAAUAACACGGGGAAACUUGUGCUAAUACCGAAUAAGCCUUUACAGGGAAAGUUUUAACGCCGAAAGAUGAGCCUGCACUUGAUUAGCUAGUUGGUAAGGUAAAAGCUUACCAAGGCAACGAUCAAUAGCUGUUCUUAGAGGAAGACCAGCCACAUUGGGACUGAGACACGGCCCAGACUCCUACGGGAGGCAGCAGUGGGGAAUCUUGCACAAUGGGGGAAACCCUGAUGCAGCGAUGCCGCGUGAGUGAAGAAGGCCCUUGGGUUGUAAAACUCUUUCGUCGGGGAAGAAAAUGACUGUACCCGAAUAAGAAGGUCCGGCUAACUUCGUGCCAGCAGUCGCGGUAAUACGAAGGGACCUAGCGUAGUUCGGAAUUACUGGGCUUAAAGAGCUCGUAGGUGGUUAAAAAAGUUGAUGGUGAAAUCCCAAGGCUCAACCUUGGAACUGCCAUCAAAACUUUUUAGCUAGAGUGUGAUAGAGGUAAGUGGAAUUUCUAGUGUAGAGGUGAAAUUCGUAGAUAUUAGAAAGAACACCAAAUGCGAAGGCAACUUACUGGGUCACAACUGACACUGAGGAGCGAAAGCAUGGGUAGCGAAGAGGAUUAGAUACCCUCGUAGUCCAUGCCGUAA
rnacentral:rRNA from 1 species